rnacentral:rRNA from 1 species
AGUGAACGCUGGCGGCAGGCCUAAUACAUGCAAGUCGAACGGAAGGACAGUAAGCGCUUGCUCUUACGGGUGGCGACUGGCGGGCGGGUGAGGCAUACAUAGGCAUCUUCUUUUUCUUGGGGGACAACGUAGGACCACUUACGCUACUACCGCAUAUAUUCUACGGCAUAAUGCAGUGGUUCAUCAGACCUUGCCUGUCUGUAUUAGCUGAUGCCGGAUUAGCUAGUUGGCGUGGUAAAGGCCCACCAAGGCGACGAUCCGUAGCUGGUCUGAGAGGAUGAUCAGCCACACUGGAACUGAGACACGGUCCAGACUCCUACGGGAGGCAGCAGUAGGGAAUAUUCGGCAAUGGGCGCAAGCCUGAUCCAGCAAUGCCGCGUGAGUGAUGAAGGCCUUCGGAUUGUAAAACCCUGUUAUUGGGGAAGAAAAACUGCGGAUGAAAACCUGGCCGUUUUGACGGUACCCAAAGAAAAAGCACCGGCUAACUACGUG